AUGAGUUCCUGCGGCCAGCAACAGCGUCACCGACACAGCCGGAGGCCUUUCGUCACUGCCGUGGUCGCCGGCGAGCUCUCCGAGGCAUGGUCGUGCGCCUGCGGCCAAGCGCGAGACAUGGAGGCGGUAGUCUUGAUUCUGAAGGUGUUCAGAGGCUACCUAGCACGAGUUCCCUCUCCAUGCUUCUCCCAAACAAAGAUCAAACUGAAUUUUGCGAUAAACAUGCUGCUGCACAUACGUACAGAAAAAGGCUUUAGAAGCAUUCACUGUUUUUUGGUUUAA
rnacentral:rRNA from 1 species